AGUCAACUUGAAUUUGAGUUUUUAACUUAGAUUUGGGUGGCGGACGGGUGAGUAACGCGUAAAGAACUUGCCUCACAGCUAGGGACAACAUUUAGAAAUGAAUGCUAAUACCUGAUAUUAUGAUUUUAAGGCAUCUUAGAAUUAUGAAAGCUAUAUGCGCUGUGAGAGAGCUUUGCGUCCCAUUAGCUAGUUGGAGAGGUAACAGCUCACCAAGGCGAUGAUGGGUAGCCGGCCUGAGAGGGUGAACGGCCACAAGGGGACUGAGACACGGCCCUUACUCCUACGGGAGGCAGCAGUGGGGAAUAUUGGACAAUGGACCGAGAGUCUGAUCCAGCAAUUCUGUGUGCACGAUGAAGUUUUUCGGAAUGUAAAGUGCUUUCAGUUGGGAAGGAAUAAAUGACGGUACCAACAGAAGAAGUGACGGCUAAAUACGUGCCAGCAGCCGCGGUAAUACGUAUGUCACGAGCGUUAUCCGGAUUUAUUGGGCGUAAAGCGCGUCUAGGUGGUUAUGUAAGUCUGAUGUGAAAAUGCAGGGCUCAACUCUGUAUUGCGUUGGAAACUGUAUAACUAGAGUACUGGAGAGGUGAGCGGAACUACAAGUGUAGAGGUGAAAUUCGUAGAUAUUUGUAGGAAUGCCGAUGGGGAAGCCAGCUUACUGGACAGAUACUGACGCUAAAGCGCGAAAGCGU
rnacentral:rRNA from 1 species